rnacentral:rRNA from 1 species
UCCGUAGGGGGCAAGCGUUGUCCGGAUUUAUUGGGCGUAAAGAGCGUGUAGGCGGCCUGAAAGGUCAGCUGUGAAAACUCGAGGCUCAACCUCGAGACGUCGGUUGAAACCAUCUGGCUAGAGUCCGGAAGAGGAGAGUGGAAUUCCCGGUGUAGCGGUGAAAUGCGCAGAUAUCGGGAAGAACACCCGUGGCGAAGGCGGCUCUCUGGGACGGUACUGACGCUGAGACGCGAAAGCGUGGGGAGCGAACAGG